AACGAACGCUGGCGGCAUGCCUAACACAUGCAAGUCGAACGAGACCUUCGGGUCUAGUGGCGCACGGGUGCGUAACGCGUGGGAACCUGCCUUUAGGUUCGGAAUAACUCAGAGAAAUUUGAGCUAAUACCGGAUGAUGUCUUCGGACCAAAGAUUUAUCGCCUUUAGAUGGGCCCGCGUAAGAUUAGCUAGUUGGUGAGGUAAAGGCUCACCAAGGCGACGAUCCUUAGCUGGUCUGAGAGGAUGAUCAGCCACACUGGGACUGAGACACGGCCCAGACUCCUACGGGAGGCAGCAGUGGGAAUAUUGGACAAUGGGCGAAAGCCUGAUCCAGCAAUGCCGCGUGAGUGAUGAAGGCCUUAGGGUUGUAAAGGCUCUUUUACCCGGGAUGAUAAUGACAGUACCGGGAGAAUAAGACUCCGGCGUAACUCCGUGCCAGCAGCCGCGGUAAUGUGUGACUGU
rnacentral:rRNA from 1 species